UAACGCAUCACAAUGGACACUCGUGACAUCACACGUGUGAAACCAGGCCCCCUUUGACUUUCACUCUUUGUCAGUAUUUUUACUGCUGGUGUCUCCCCAGAUAUAUAACCCAUCACUAUAAACUCAAGCAUCCAACUUCUCAAUCUUCCAACAGCGAAGUGGGGUCAGAACAUUGAAUGCGGAAGUCAGUGACAGCCAAGAAAGAGAAUGGGUUUAAGAGUCAACAAGACAUCAAGCAAGAGACAACAGACAGUGUGGAUGAAGGGGGUGGGGCCCGUCGUUUCAAACGGAAUCAGUACAAGAGAAGAUCCACCAAGGUGGGUUCCUGGGUAAAAGAAAUCUUGAACUCAGGGAUGGAUCUGGAUAAAAGCGUCUGAAGAAAAUCUUGGCAUCUAAGAAGAAAUACACCUCCGCUUUGAAAAGGAUGCCUGAUAACAACCGUGUCUAUCGCAAGAUCCGCCGCAUGAUCCGGAGACUGCUGUGGCCAGUUUCUGUCACGUCUUUCACCAUCUUGAUGUUCUGCUUGGCGCCAUAGUCCUGGCUGUGAGAACCCCCUGAGACUGCCCUUCACAAUUCCUGAAUAAAACGUGCCUAACAACACACCAAGCAAAACACAUUUGGAAGUAAUUCAUCCUUUGGUUUCAUGUUAACUAGUCUGGUAACACCUAAAAUGUCUCCAAUUACUUUGCAUUUACAUAGUGACUACAUCUGAGCGUGAAUAGAAUUAUUAUGUUAUUAUUCAUAGUUACAAUGUACUUAAGGUGUACAUCUUUUUGCA